UACGUAGGGGGCGAGCGUUGUCCGGAUUUAUUGGGCGUAAAGCGCGCGUAGGCGGCCGUUCGCGUCGGAUGUGAAAGCUCGGAGCUCAACUCUGAGAGGCCAUUCGAUACGGGACGGCUAGAGGCAGGUAGGGGAGAGUGGAAUUCCUGGUGUAGCGGUGAAAUGCGCAGAUAUCAGGAGGAACACCGGUGGCGAAGGCGGCUCUCUGGGCCUGUCCUGACGCUGAGGCGCGAAAGCUGGGGGAGCGAACAGGAUUAGAUACCCCUGUAGU
rnacentral:rRNA from 1 species